rnacentral:ncRNA from 1 species
UAAGCUCUGUCAAAUCGAAGCCCCAAGUUCCUACUUGGGAGGAUAGUAGAAAUGAUGGGGCUUA